UCAGGAAUUAAACACUCAGAAAACAGCUAUAAUUAAUCAUCAGCUUUCUCAAGAAUGUCCUCUUCCUCAUCACAGCUGAUUAUGGCCUCUUGUUCAUCACAGCCAAUGGACGAUCUCACACGGUACAUGCCACUGCAUAAGUAUAUACUCGAAGGCGACUUGGAAUCGGUAAAACGAGACUAUGACUGGGAUAAUCAUGCUUUAGAAGCGAGAAUCACCGCGAACUUGGACACAGCACUUCAUGUAGCAGUUGGGACAGGCAGAGCGAAUCGAAUUGUGGAGUAUCUAUUGAAUAAGAUGUCAAAAGAUCAAGUGGCACUGCAAAAUAGGGACGGCAACACGGUCCUCUCUAUCGCUGCUAUCGUUGGCAAUAUCCAAGCAGCAGAAUUGCUCGUGAAAAAGGAUGAAAACUUAAAUAGAGUUGCAAACUACUGUGGGUGGAUACCUUUGAUUGAGGCUGCUCAACAUCAGAAAAAAGAGAUGACUGAAUAUUUAUUGCAAUUCACCGAAGGUCUUUUUGAGUCUGAAGAAAAUGGUUCUACAGAUACAAUACGUGUUCUCUUCAUGAAUUUUCUCAUAGGUGCUAAAUUUUACGGCUUGGCACUGGAAUUGGUUAAACUUCAUCCAAGUUUAGCUACUAUGGUGUCAUCUGAUGGAGAGUCUCUUUUGAAGGCAAUAGCUCGAAAGCCAUCUGCAUUUCCAAGUAAAAUAAGAAAGCUAGAUAUUUGGGAACGUUGUUUUACUUAUAUUUAUUAUAUGGGAAAACAAAAGGCAGCAUUGAUGCAUAACACACCACUUAAACUAGUUCAAUGUCUGUGCAAGGGAAUUACAAGACUAGACCAUGAAAGAGCCUCCUCACUUCUCAAAGAACCGCUGCUUUUAGCUGCAGAAUUGGGGAUUAUUGAAGUUGUGGAAGUGAUUCUAAAGACAUUUCCUGAUGCAAUCUCGUUUUCAAAUGAAAUGAAUCAUAAUGCAUUCCAAUUAGCGAUUAUGAACCGUCACGACAACAUAUUCAACCUCAUAUUUCAAAUGAGUACUGCUCACAGAAAUUUAUUGGUGAUGUCUAAAGACAUUUGUGGUAAUAAUAUCUUGCACUUAGCUGGAAAACUGGCUCCGCAGGAUAAACUAAAUCUCAUCCCUGGUGCAGCUAUGCAAAUGCAGCGUGAGAUACAAUGGUUUAAGGAGGUAGAGAAAAUUGUACCCCCUCGCUACAAACAUGAUAAAAAUUUGGAAGGAAAAACUCCGAAAAUGGUAUUUAGUGAGGAACAUAAGGGACUGGUUAAAGAAGGUGAGCACUGGAUGAAAUCGGCUGCAACCUCAUCCUCAGUAGCAGCAGCACUUAUUGCUACUGUAGUAUUUUCAGCAGCAAUUACUGUGCCUGGUGAUUACGACGAUGGAGGCAAACCAAAUCUUAACAAACAGAUAACCUUCUUGAGUUUUGGAACUACGGAUACAAUCUCUAUGUUCUCAUCACUUGCUGCCAUCAUAAUGUUUUUGUCCAUCCUCACAUCACGCUACACAGAAGCUGAUUUUCUUUAUGCCCUUCCCAUGAAGUUAAUACAAUGUCUUGCUUUAUCGUUAUUCUCUGUAACGGCGACGAUGGUAGCCUUUGCUACCGCUGUUUAUCUGGUGUUCUUCGGCAAUAAUUUGCGUGCAAUAGCUUUAGUGGUUGCGUCACUUUGUCUGCCCAUCUACUUAUUUGCUUCUUCUCAGUACACCCUCUUAGGUUACUUACUCCUUUCCACAUUUCGGCCAGGCAUUCUCCGCAAGCAAACCAAGAGUGCCCUCUUAGAUUUAAUGUAUGUAUGAGAGAGUGAUCAUUGGAUGAUAAAACAUCUUCAUCCUUGUAUUUUAUUGAUCUUGGCAAAGACUACUAAUAUUGUGUUCCCAACUAAUGGAUUGUGAGCUGAAGUUAGUAGUGUGGAAAGAUCCUCAGCACCUUCAGGCAAGAGUUUAUGAUCCAAAACUGGUAAUGGGAGCUCUACUAAAUUUACCGGGGAAGUUAAAUUUGAUGGAAUUUCAGAGUGUCUUGGAUAUUUAUAUGAGUUGAAAUAAAGGACUAAAGUCUAGCCUUGGUGAAGGCAAUGUAGAGUUGACGAGAAUGCCGUCAUAUGGCCAAAGGCGGACUAUGGAAGCAUCACUAGAUGAAUGAAUAUCUCAAGCUUAAUCUGUUUCUUCUAGAGCUAGAUUGCAGAGUGAAAAACAGAGGAAAACAGGGAAAGAACAAAAUAUUCUUCUAUAUACUUGUUGAAAUCCCUUUGCGAGUUUCCCACACCUAACCCUGACAUCGUUGAAAAACAGUUAAAUAUGGAUUUUUCGCCAUAUAGGUGCCUAUGAAGGGAUCAAAUCCCGGACCUUGUAGGAAUAAAUCACUAGUCUGACCAUCCGACUAAGUCCUCUUGGGUAGAACCGAUAG